rnacentral:rRNA from 3 species
GGUUGACCUCAGAUCAGGUAGGAAUACCCGCUGAACUUAAGCAUAUCAAUA